rnacentral:rRNA from 1 species
AGUGAACGCUGGCGGUAGGCCUAACACAUGCAAGUCGAACGGCAGCACAGUAAGAGCUUGCUCUUACGGGUGGCGCGUGGCGGACGGGUGAGGAAUACAUCGGAAUCUACUUUUUCGUGGGGGAUAACGUAGGGAAACUUCCGCUAAUACCGCAUACGACCUACGGCUGAAAGCAGUAGAUCUUCGCACCUUGCGCGUUUGAUUGAGCCGAUUUCGCAUUGGCUAGUUGGCGGGGUAAGGGCCCACCAAGGCGAGGAUCCGUAGCUGGUCUGAGAGGAUGAUAGCCACACUGGAACUGAGACACGGUCCAGACUCCUACGGGAGGCAGCAGUGGGGAAUAUUGGACAAUGGGCGCAAGCCUGAUGCAGCCAUACCGCGUGGGUGAAGAAGGCCUUCGGGUCGUAAAGCCCUUUUGUUGGGAAAGAAAAGCAGCAGGUUAAUACCCCGCUGUUCUGACGGUACCCAAUGAAUAAGCACCGGCUAACUUCGUG